rnacentral:rRNA from 1 species
GACAGAGGGGGCAAGCGUUGCUCGGAAUUACUGGGCGUAAAGGGCGCGUAGGCGGCUCGGCACGUCCGUUGUGAAAUCGCCCGGCUCAACUGGGCGGGGUCGGCGGAUACGGCCGAGCUGGAGCAAGCUAGGGGGUAAUGGAAUUCCCGGUGUAGUGGUGGAAUGCGUAGAUAUCGGGAGGAACACCAGUGGCGAAGGCGGUUACCUGGAGCUUUGCUGACGCUGAUGCGCGAAAGCGUGGGGAGCGAUCCGG